CCCGGUCUCGUUUCGACCCCGGAAGUUAAGCCCGCCAGCGAUCCCGGGUGUACUGCCCUCCGAGAGGGGGCGGGAAACCGGGGACGCCGCCGGCC
rnacentral:rRNA from 1 species